AGUGAACGCUGGCGGUAUGCCUAACACAUGCAAGUCGAACGGCAGCACAGUAAGAGCUUGCUCUUACGGGUGGCGAGUGGCGGACGGGUGAGGAAUACAUCGGAAUCUACUUUUUCGUGGGGGAUAACGUAGGGAAACCUACGCUAAUACCGCAUACGACCUACGGGUGAAAGCAGGGGAUCUUCGGACCUUGCGCGAUUGAAUGAGCCGAUGUCGGAUUAGCUAGUUGGCGGGGUAAAGGCCCACCAAGGCGACGAUCCGUAGCUGGUCUGAGAGGAUGAUCAGCCACACUGGAACUGAGACACGGUCCAGACUCCUACGGGAGGCAGCAGUGGGGAAUAUUGGACAAUGGGCGCAAGCCUGAUCCAGCCAUACCGCGUGGGUGAAGAAGGCCUUCGGGUUGUAAAGCCCUUUUGUUGGGAAAGAAAAGCAGCAGGUUAAUACCCCGCUGUUCUGACGGUACCCAAAGAAUAAGCACCGGCUAACUUCGUG
rnacentral:rRNA from 1 species